UACAGAGGUCCCGAGCGUUGUUCGGAUUCACUGGGCGUAAAGGGUGCGUAGGUGGUGAGGAAAGUCGGAUGUGAAAGCUCCGGGCUCAACCCGGAAAUGGCAUUGGAAACUACCUUGCUGGAGGAUUGGAGGGGGGACUGGAAUUCUCGGUGUAGCAGUGAAAUGCGUAGAUAUCGAGAGGAACACCAGUGGCGAAGGCGAGUCCCUGGACAAAUCCUGACACUGAGGCACGAAAGCUAGGGGAGCAAACAGGAUUAGAAACCCCCGUAGUCC
rnacentral:rRNA from 1 species